rnacentral:rRNA from 1 species
UGCGUCCUACGGGGGGCAGCAGUGGGGAAUUUUGGACAAUGGGCGCAAGCCUGAUCCAGUUACUCCGCGUGUGGGAUGAAGGCCCUCGGGUUGUAAACCACUUUUGUAGAGAACGAAAAGACACCUUCGAAUAAAGGGUGUUGCUGACGGUACUCCAAGAAUAAGCACCGGCUAACUACGUGCCAGCAGCCGCGGUAAUACGUAGGGUGCGAGCGUUAAUCAGAAUUACUGGGCGUAAAGGGUGCGCAGGCGGUUGAGUAAGACAGAUGUGAAAUCCCCGAGCUUAACUCGGG